CAGAGUGAUGGAAACCUUGAACUGAUCCAGAUUGACCAGAAAAGGAUGUUGUGAAUGGCUCUGGAA
rfam:Hordeum vulgare subsp. vulgare, WGS project CAJW01000000 data, contig: morex_contig_1560021